rnacentral:rRNA from 1 species
UACGGAGACUGCGAGCGUUACUCGGAUUUACUGGGCGUAAAGGGUCCGUAGGCGGCCAUGUGUGUCGGGUGUGAAAGCCUGCAGCUUAACUGCAGAACUGCGCCCGAAACUACAUGGCUAGAGUAUUGGAGAGGUGAGUGGAAUUCCUGGUGUAGCGGUGAAAUGCGUAGAUAUCAGGAGGAACACCAACGGCGAAGGCAGCUCACUGGACAAUUACUGACGCUGAGGGACGAAAGUGUGGGGAGCGAAAGGG